AUUGAACGCUGGCGGAAUGCUUUACACAUGCAAGUCGAGCGGCAGCGCGGGGGCAACCCUGGCGGCGAGCGGCGAACGGGUGAGUAACACAUCGGAACGUACCCAGUUGAGGGGGAUAGCCCGGCGAAAGCCGGAUUAAUACCGCAUAAGUCCUGAGGGAGAAAGCGGGGGACCGCAAGGCCUCGCGCGAUUGGAGCGGCCGAUGUCGGAUUAGCUAGUUGGUGGGGUAAAGGCUCACCAAGGCGACGAUCCGUAGCUGGUCUGAGAGGAUGAUCAGCCACACUGGGACUGAGACACGGCCCAGACUCCUACGGGAGGCAGCAGUGGGGAAUUUUGGACAAUGGGGGAAACCCUGAUCCAGCCAUUCCGCGUGAGUGAAGAAGGCC
rnacentral:rRNA from 1 species